AGUGAACGCUGGCGGUAGGCCUAACACAUGCAAGUCGAACGGCAGCACAGUAAGAGCUUGCUCUUACGGGUGGCGAGUGGCGGACGGGUGAGGAAUACAUCGGAAUCUACUUUUUCGUGGGGGAUAACGUAGGGAAACUUACGCUAAUACCGCAUACGACCUACGGGUGAAAGCAGGGGAUCUUCGGACCUUGCGCGAUUGAAUGAGCCGAUGUCGGAUUAGCUAGUUGGCGGGGUAAAGGCCCACCAAGGCGACGAUCCGUAGCUGGUCUGAGAGGAUGAUCGGCCGCACUGGAACUGAGACACGGUCCAGGCUCCUACGGGAGGCAGCAGUGGGGAAUAUUGGACAAUGGGCGCAAGCCUGAUCCAGCCAUACCGCGUGGGUGAAGAAGGCCUUCGGGUUGUAAAGCCCUUUUGUUGGGAAAGAAAAGCAGCAGGUUAAUACCCCGCUGUUCUGACGGUACCCAAAGAAUAAGCACCGGCUAACUUCGUG
rnacentral:rRNA from 1 species